AUUGAACGCUGGCGGCAGGCCUAACACAUGCAAGUCGAGCGGUAACACAGAGAGCUUGCUCUCGGGUGACGAGCGGCGGACGGGUGAGUAAUGUCUGGGAAACUGCCUGAUGGAGGGGGAUAACCACUGGAAACGGUGGCUAAUACCGCAUAACGUCGCAAGACCAACGAGGGGGACCUUCGGGCCUCUCACUAUCGGAUGAACCCAGAUGGGAUUAGCUAGUAGGCGGGGUAACGGCCCACCUAGGCGACGAUCCCUAGCUGGUCUGAGAGGAUGACCAGCCCCACUGGAACUGAGACACGGUCCAGACUCCUACGGGAGGCAGCAGUGGGGAAUAUUGCACAAUGGGCGCAAGCCUGAUGCAGCCAUGCCGCGUGUAUGAAGAAGGCCUUCGGGUUGUAAAGUACUUUCAGCGGGGAGGAAGGCGAUGUGGUUAAUAACCGCAUUGAUUGACGUUACCCGCAGAAGAAGCACCGGCUAACUCCGUGCCAGCCGCCGCAGUAA
rnacentral:rRNA from 1 species